rnacentral:lncRNA from 1 species
ACAGGUACGUGGGCGGGCGGAUCGUGGUGGCUGCGCUUGCGAGGACCCUGAGGUAGAUUGGGUGGUUUCAACAGGAACGCAUCCACUGUCUGAGAGUUUAAACUUGAUUUUGUGAGGGGACGAACAGCGUGACAAUUAAAAGAAGAUCUGGGAAUCAAAAGCUUCCUGAGGCCUUCACCAGAAGCAGAUGCUGGUGCCGUGCUUCUACAGCCUGCAGAACUAAGAGAAGACAUGGAGAAGAGGAGGGAGUAGUUGUGACCGUGGAGGCAGAGAAUGGAGUAAUGUGAUCAUAAAUCAAGGAAUGCUGACAGCCACUAAAGCUGGAGAAGGCCAAGGACAGAUAUUCAAUCCUCCCGUAGAAGUACAGCCCUGCUAAUGCAUUGAUUUUGGACUUCUGGCCUCAGAACUGUAAGAGAAUAAAUUUCUAUUGUUUUAAGCCUUCA